rnacentral:rRNA from 1 species
AUUGAACGUUGGCGGCAUGCCUAACACAUGCAAGUCGAACGAGUGGCGGACGGGUGAGUAAUGUCUGGGAAACUGCCCGAUGGAGGGGGAUAACUACUGGAAACGGUAGCUAAUACCGCAUACCAUCGGAUGUGCACAGAUGGGAUUUGCUAGUAGGUGGGGUAAAGGCUCACCUAGGCGACGAUACCUAGCUGGUUUGAGAGGAUGACCAGCCACACUGGAACUGAGACACGGUCCAGACUCCUACGGGAGGCAGCAGUGGGGAAUAUUGCACAAUGGGAGAAAGCCUGAUGCAGCCAUCCCGCGUGUAUGAAGAAGGCCUUCGGGUUGUAAAGUACUGUCAGCGAGGAGGCGUUACUCGCAGAAGAAGCACCGGCUAACUCCGUGCCAGCCGCCGCGGUAAUUC